UUGCUGUGGGGAUCCGGGCCUCAGCAAAUACAUAAUCGUAGGAUGGAUUAUUGGUGGAGUUGCAGGCUUUGUUAUCAUCGUUAUUUGUAUAAUUUAUUGUUGCAAAAUGUAAGGGAAAGAAAAAAGAAACAACAUUAUCGUAUACUAGGAAGUAAAUAAAGACAACAACACCGUGUUUACAACAAUGUUAACAAGAAUCUCCUGUGAUAUACAAAUGAAUUGUGAUAAAAGACAGAUUUUGUUAUUGUGUUUGUUUGAACAGUAUAAUGUUAUUAACGAUACAGAGGGCAACAAUGCAAUAGUGCGACAGUGCGAUGACGACAAUACGACAGUGCGAUGACGACAGUGCGAUGGCGACAAUGCGAUAACGCGAUAGUGCGAUGACGACAAAGCGAUAGUGUUAUCGCACUGUCGCCAUCGCACUGAUCAAAAUGAUAGAUAUAGCACAUUGAAAAUGAGGAAAGUACAUCACUAUCAUUCCGAAAUAAACCGUUCAUACGGACUUUUGGUCCGAUUGUAACAGGGUCAGUAAUUGGGGUGUAUUUAUAUUUUGUUAAUUGCCAGAGUUGUUCCCCUGGACCUUAAAUGGUUGUUUCCCGUAAAAUCGUAAAAUCAA